CCUACGGGAGGCAGCAGUGGGGAAUAUUGGGCAAUGGGCGCAAGCCUGACCCAGCAACGCCGCGUGAAGGAAGAAGGCCCUCUGGUUGUAAACUUCUUUUUUUCGGGACGAAACACAUGACGGUUCCGAAUCAAUAAGCCACGGCUAACUACGUGCCCGCAGCCGCGGUAAUACGUAGGUGGCAAUCGUUCUCCGGAUUUACUGGGUGUAAAGGGCGUGUAGGCGGGAGAGCAAGUCAGACGUGAAAUUCCAGGGGUCAACCCUGGAAAUGCGUUUGAAACUGGUGUGCUUGAGUGAUGGAGAGGCAGGCGGAAUUCCGGGUGUAGCGGUGAAAUGCGUAGAUAUACGGAGGAACACCAGUGGCGAAGGCGGCAUGCUGGACAUUAACUGACGCUGAGGCGCGAAAGCGUGGGGAGCAAACAGGAUUAGAUACCCUUGUAGUC
rnacentral:rRNA from 1 species